GUCAAGCGAAUAAGCGCACACGGUGGAUGCCUUGGCGGUCAGAGGCGAUGAAGGACGUGGCAGCCUGCGAAAAGUAUCGGGGAGCUGGCAACAAGCUUUGAUCCGGUAAUGUCCGAAUGGGGAAACCCACCCGCUUGCGGGUAUCCUGCAGUGAAUACAUAGCUGCUGGAAGCGAACCUGGUGAACUGAAAUAUCUAAGUAACCAGAGGAAAAGAAAUCAACCGAGAUUCCGUAAGUAGCGACGAGCGAACGCGGACUAGCCCUUAAGCUGAUUUGGUUCUAGGAAAACGCUCUGGAAAGAGCGGCCAUAGAAGGUGAUAGCCCUGUAUCUGAAAGGGCCAUUUCAGUGAAGACGAGUAGGGCGGGGCACGUGAAACCCUGUCUGAACAUGGGGGGACCAUCCUCCAAGGCUAAAUACUACUGACCGACCGAUAGUGAACCAGUACCGUGAGGGAAAGGCGAAAAGAACCCCGGAGAGGGGAGUGAAAUAGAACCUGAAACCGUGUGCGUACAAGCAGUAGGAGCUCCGCAAGGAGUGACUGCGUACCUUUUGUAUAAUGGGUCAGCGACUUACUGUUCGUGGCAAGCUUAACCGUAUAGGGGAGGCGAAGGGAAACCGAGUCUGAUAAGGGCGCAUAGUCGCGGGCAGUAGACCCGAAACCGGGUGAUCUAGUCAUGCCCAGGGUGAAGGUGCGGUAACACGCACUGGAGGCCCGAACCCACUCCCGUUGCAAAGGUAGGGGAUGAGGUGUGAUUAGGAGUGAAAAGCUAAUCGAACCCGGAGAUAGCUGGUUCUCCUCGAAAGCUAUUUAGGUAGCGCCUCAUAUGUAUCCUCUCGGGGGUAGAGCACUGUUAUGGCUAGGGGGUCAUCGCGACUUACCAAACCAUUGCAAACUCCGAAUACCGAGACGGACUGUAUGGGAGACACACGGCGGGUGCUAACGUCCGUCGUGAAAAGGGAAACAACCCAGACCCACAGCUAAGGUCCCAAAUUCACUGCUAAGUGGAAAACCAUGUGGAAAGGCACAGACAGCCAGGAGGUUGGCUUAGAAGCAGCCACCCUUUAAAGAAAGCGUAAUAGCUCACUGGUCGAGUCGGUCUGCGGGGAAGAUUUAACGGGGCUAAGCAGUGAACCGAAGCUUGGGGUGCAUAACUUUGUUAUGCGCGGUAGAGGAGCGUUCCGUAAGCCGUUGAAGGUGGAUUGAGAAGUCUGCUGGAGGUAUCGGAAGUGCGAAUGCUGACAUGAGUAACGAUAAUGCGGGUGAAAAACCCGCACGCCGAAAGCCCAAGGUUUCCUUGCGCAACGUUAAUCGGCGCAGGGUGAGUCGGCCCCUAAGGCGAGGACGAAAGUCGUAGUCGAUGGGAAGCAGGUUAAUAUUCCUGCACCUCGCGUAAGUGCGAUGGAGGGACGGAGAAGGUUAGGUGUACCAGGCGUUGGUUGUCCUGGGGAAAGGCGGUAGGUUUGGAUCUUUGGCAAAUCCGGGAUCCUUUAAGACCGAGCACCGAGACGAGCCUUUAAGGCGAAGUCACUGAUACCACGCUUCCAGGAAAAGCUCCUAAGCUUCAGCUUACGCAGACCGUACCGUAAACCGACACAGGUGGGUAGGAUGAGAAUUCUCAGGCGCUUGAGAGAACUCGGGUGAAGGAACUAGGCAACAUGGCACCGUAACUUCGGGAGAAGGUGCACCCUUUUUGGUGGCUCGUGCGAGCUAUAGCUGAAGAGGGUCGCAGUAACCAGGCCGCUGCGACUGUUUAUCAAAAACACAGCACUCUGCAAACACGAAAGUGGACGUAUAGGGUGUGACGCCUGCCCGGUGCUGGAAGGUUAAUUGAUGGGGUCAGCCGCAAGGCGAAGCUCUUGAUCGAAGCCCCAGUAAACGGCGGCCGUAACUAUAACGGUCCUAAGGUAGCGAAAUUCCUUGUCGGGUAAGUUCCGACCUGCACGAAUGGCGUAACGACAGCGGCGCUGUCUCCACCCGAGACUCAGUGAAAUUGAAAUCGCUGUGAAGAUGCAGCGUUCCCGUGGCAAGACGGAAAGACCCCGUGAACCUUUACUAUAGCUUUACACUGAACGUUGAGUUCGUCUGUGUAGGAUAGGUGGGAGGCUAUGAAACUGUGGCGCUAGCUGCAGUGGAGCCAUCCUUGAAAUACCACCCUGUCGUGCUUGACGUUCUAACCUGGGCCCAUUAUCUGGGUCGGGGACCGUGUAUGGUGGGUAGUUUGACUGGGGCGGUCUCCUCCUAAAGAGUAACGGAGGAGCUCGAAGGUACGCUCAGCGCGGUCGGACAUCGCGCACUGUGUGCAAAGGCAUAAGCGUGCUUGACUGCAAGAUCGACGGAUCAAGCAGGUAGGAAACUAGGACUUAGUGAUCCGGUGGUUCUGUAUGGAAGGGCCAUCGCUCAACGGAUAAAAGGUACUCCGGGGAUAACAGGCUGAUACCGCCCAAGAGUUCAUAUCGACGGCGGUGUUUGGCACCUCGAUGUCGGCUCAUCACAUCCUGGGGCUGUAGUCGGUCCCAAGGGUAUGGCUGUUCGCCAUUUAAAGUGGUACGCGAGCUGGGUUCAGAACGUCGUGAGACAGUUCGGUCCCUAUCUGCCAUGGGCGUUGGAGAUUUGAGAGGGGCUGCUCCUAGUACGAGAGGACCGGAGUGGACGAACCUCUGGUGUUCCGGUUGUCACGCCAGUGGCAUUGCCGGGUAGCUAUGUUCGGAAGCGAUAACCGCUGAAAGCAUCUAAGCGGGAAGCGCGCCUCAAGAUGAGAUCUCCCGGGGCACAAGCCCCCUGAAGGAACCAUGUAGACUACGUGGUUGAUAGGUCAGGUGUGUAAGUACAGCAAUGUAUUGAGCUAACUGAUACUAAUGAUCCGUGCGGCUUGACC
rnacentral:rRNA from 1 species